GAAGAGCUCAUGAUAAUGUUACUGAAACAGUACAAAAAUGUUUAGGUAAUCAUAUGAAAGCAUGGCAACCAAUUGAUCUGAUCAGUGACAAAGGUUUGUGGAUUUCUUAAUCAUUGUAUUGCGUAUAAGACAUGUCGUUGUCACCAUCAUUAUUUUGUCGCCAUCUCUUACAGAAGAUCAUCAUGCCCAGCUCGUUUUAAUAUAUGUAUGUGCGUAUAUACAUGAACUCCCUUCGUGGUCCUACACAAGUGCAACAGAAUCUACUCCAACUCCAAUGAUUAAAGGAGAAGGUUCAAAGGAAAAAAGACGAGCACAAGAAUCUCUCUUCAAGAAACAAACACCAUCCGAAAUAUAAGAAUUGCCCAAAAACAAGCACACCCCACUACUGCCUCACUCUUCUCCUUGAGCCCUCACUGCUACUGCCAGCUUUGCCCUUCCAACUCCUCCGCCACCUGCUGAGGGGGCGGGCGUGCGUCAACGAAGAAGAAGAAACAGAAGAAGAAGAAGAAAGAGAAGGGAUGUGUGGUAGCAGGUUCAUGAGGGCGUUGAUCACUGGCCUAACAUUCUUCUUGUGUUUGGGGCUCAUGCUGUCGGUGUCUAUGAUUGGUGGAGGAACAAAAGCACCGCCACCGGUGACUGUUGCAAUUGCGGCUUCCUCUAGAGAUAGGCAGCACAUGAGGGACAGGAGCUUCGACCCUUUCUAUGCUAGCAAGAGAAGAGUGCCUAAGGGACCUGAUCCCAUCCACAACAGGAGAACAGGGAAGCUAAGCCGACCUCCUGCGAGAGCCUAGUGGUACGAGGAAGAAGGGAAGCUCCCGCUCGGAAGAUGGAUUAGAGGAGGAUGGGAGUCUCAUCUUGCAUGUAACAGGAAAUGGACCAGCUUUGAACACUCCUAAAACAUUAGCUCUAAUAUUCCUGCUCUGCCAAAGUGCUCUGCUUUACCAAGUGCUGGUUGCGGUGGGAUGUCCGAAGAGUCCAAUCUUCCCUCUCACAAGAUACGCAUUCAGAUGUUCCAGACAAAGAUGUGAAGAGAUGUUGCAGUACUUUACUGACCACCUCCUUUUAUUUUGAGCGCCGGAGAGAGAGAGAGAGAGAAGGAAGAGAGCGGUGGAGUUUUGCUGAUCAAGUGAUUGUAGCAACUGUUCAAGCUCGUUAACCAUGGUGGAAUUGUAUGUAUUAAAGGUAAAGGUAAGGCAUCCUUGACGUGUUUAGCUUU